UACGUAGGGUGCAAGCGUUAAUCGGAAUUACUGGGCGUAAAGCGUGCGCAGGCGGUUGUGCAAGACAGAUGUGAAAUCCCCGGGCUCAACCUGGGAACUGCAUUUGUGACUGCACGGCUGGAGUGCGGCAGAGGGGGAUGGAAUUCCAGGUGUAGCGGUGAAAUGCGUAGAUAUCUGGAGGAACAUCGGUGGCGAAGGCGGCAUCCUGGACCGGUAUUGACGCUGAGGCGCGAAAGCCAGGGGAGCAAACGGG
rnacentral:rRNA from 1 species